rnacentral:rRNA from 1 species
CAGAGGGGGCAAGCGUUGUUCGGAAUUACUGGGCGUAAAGGGCGCGUAGGCGGCCUGCUAAGUCGAACGUGAAAUCCCUGGGCUCAACCCAGGAACUGCGUCCGAUACUGGUUGGCUUGAAUCCGGGAGAGGGAUGUGGAAUUCCAGGUGUAGCGGUGAAAUGCGUAGAUAUCUGGAGGAACACCGGUGGCGAAGGCGAAAUCCUGGACCGGCAUUGACGCUGAGGCGCGAAAGCCAGGGGAGCAAACGGGAUUAGAUACCCCGGUAGUCCUGGCCCUAAACGAUGAAUGCUUGGUGUGGUGGGUAUCGAUCCCUACCGUGCCGAAGCUAACGCAUUAAGCAUUCCGCCUCGGGGAGUACGGUCGCAAGGCUG